CUUCCUUCCUUCCUUCCUUCCUUCCUUCCUUCUUUCCUUCCUUCCUUCUUUCUUAUUUAGGAAGAGGACUUUCUUUCCUAUUCAGCAUCACAGUUCCCUGCAAUACGCUGUAAUUUCCUGCAGCUCUCUCUGGGGACUUAAAAAGAUGCUUCAGGUGACAGCAUUACUCAUACACCUGGGAGUUCUGCUACGGAGGUAAAAGAGAAAUUGUCAUUAUCCCUGAAGCUCCUGUCGGUUUUCCUUUGAGCAAUCAGCAGGAAGAAGAGCACAAUGCUGGGAAGGCAGCACAAAAUGCCAACUCCAGUCUCUAGAAAGAGCUAGCCAGUUGGUAACAUAGCAGCUUCCAAUGGUCCCCUCUGCGCCUCAAAAAAGACAGGGUUCACUGCCUGUGGAUUUUUGUUUUUUUAAGACAGAGAGAGCACAAGUGGGGAGGGGAAAGGAGGAGCAGAGAGAGAGGCAGAGAGAAUCUUAAACAGGCUCCAUGCCUAGUGGGAGUCCAACAAGGGGCUCGAUCUCACAACCCUGAGAUCAUGACCUGAGCUGAAAUCAAGAGUUGGAUGCUUACUGACUAAGACACCCAGGCGCCCCGUCAAUGAACAUUUUAAAACUUUACUCUCUCUACACACCUGAAAAGCCAAUGGCUAAAUUCUGAUAGACCCUGAAUGUUUGACAUAGGGCUUGAGGGUGAUGAAAACAAGAUUUUAGUUCAAUGGCUCUCAAUCAGGAGCAACGUUGUAUACCUCCCUCUGGGACAUUUGCCAAUGUGUGGAGACAUUUUUGGUUGUCAUAACUGGUGAGGGGGGUGGGUGCUAAUGGUGUCUAGUGGUAGAGGUCAGGGAUGCUGUUCAACAUCCUACAAUCCUCAGGACAGCCUCCACAAAAAAAGAACUCUCCUGCCUAAAACGUCGGUCAUGCAGGGAUUGAUGAACCCUUCUAGUUAAAUGCUACACUCUGCUCUUCCUCUCAGAUCAUUUUCAUUGGGAGAAACAGUCUUCCUUCUUGGUAUUUUCUCCCCAAAAGGCAGAUUGGGGAAGGAUGCAGCAAUCAUUCUAUGAUGGUUUUCAUGUCCUUAAAAAGCACCAUAACAAACUUAAAGCCCUUUGAGAAAGAACUGGAAUGUCAUUUUCUCUAAUCUUCACUCAAUCUUUUUGUGAUUUUUCAUAAAAAUGAGGAAUAGUAAUUCUCAUCAUAAACUACUUAUAUUUUUGAUCCUUUAAUUUUUGGUUCUAUCAUUUCAUUUAAAUUAGAGACUCCUUAGCUGGACCAAAGCUUUUCUUUGGCAUGUUAAAAAAAUUCCCUCCAUAAUGACCCCAAAGUGCAAUACUGAUGCCUCCCUUGGGCCACACACUGUUACAAAGUCUCUCAUGUGGCAGGCUAUUUCCUCUUCCUCCUUUUUUCUCUGUUAGACUGUAAGCUCUAGCAGGAACCCCUGUGGGUGAGGUGGGAGGUGGGGUGGCUGGAUGGUCCCACCCUGUUGAGGAGUACCCCUUGCACUGGAAAAUGUUUUGUGACCCUGGGCGCUGCCAGGAGUGUCCCAGGCCCUAUGACAUCAACAGCAAAAGCACCUCUACACAUUUCUAAUGCCCCCAGGUAUGGUGGCAGCUGCCCCCAUUCAGAAACCACUGGCAGAAGCAGGGAAAGGGUCUUACUCAUAUUUGUUUCCCGGGUGGCUGGCACAAAGCAGGCAAUCAAUACAUGUCUAUGGAACUGACAAAUGAAUGACUAUUUGUCUCAACAGUGAAUACAGAAAGAAGUUCAUCCAUCCCCAAAAUACAUACCGUGGUUCAUUAAAAAAAAGUAAUGUAUUGAGUUUGCAUUACGUGUCAGGCAGGGAACGAAGUACUUAGAAUGCACUGUAACAAAACAGAGAUGAUCUGUCUAAGUGAGUCUUAGUAGAGUGAGAAAGGCAGACCACUGAACAAGUAAUAAAAGUAAGUCAGUCGGAGAAGGACAAACAUUAUAUGUUCUCAUUCAUUUGGGGAAUAUAAAUAAUAGUGAAAGGGAAAAUAAGGGAAGGGAGAAGAAAUGUGUGGGAAAUAUCAGAAAGGGAGACAGAACGUAAAGACUGCUAACUCUGGGAAACGAACUAGGGGUGGAAGAAGGGGAGGAGGGCGGGGGGUGGGAGUGAAUGGGUGACGGGCACUGGGUAUUAUUCUGUAUGUUAGUAAAUUGAACACCAAUAAAAAAAAAAAAAAAGAGGAAGCAGGCACUGCCACAAGGGUUAUAAGGGAGGGUUGUAAUAUAGGAUUGGCGGGGGGUGUGUGUCAGGGAACGCAUCACGUGAGACUGCGGCUGAGACAGAGGAGUGAGUAGGAAAGAGCUAGCUAGGUGACACACAAAUAAUGCUCUGAGGCAGAAGGGCAGUAGAAACGAAGGCUCUGUGAAAAGACAGAGCCCAGAUUUGUGGAGCUUAGAAAAACCAACAGUAGGGGAUGGUUGAACAGUAGGGGGGCCAGGGAAGCCCAUCUGGGCAGCAGCUGCAGAGUUCCAUGGGUGAAAAGAAAAGGCUUAAGGUAGGCUGGUGGGAAUGUCUACAAUAACUAAGCCAAAAAAGUCAACAUGUCUCUCAUGCCCCUGGAGAACCCCAGGGCGUUAUCCUCCAGAACAGAGUGAGGACAUGGUGGGUGAAGGUGCCCCCUUAAAAGCAGCUGUGCAGAGGUAGGCUUCUCAUUCAGGGGGUCUGUUUGCCCCUCUCCCUUCUCCAUCCUGCCCCAAGGAAAAGGCAGGGGGCUUGGCAGACAGAGAAAUUCUGCUUCAAUCCCAACUUGAGCUAGAGGCUAGGUGGUCUUGUUCUUCUCUUCACUCCUGCUUUAAUUCCUGCUUCCCUUUGGCUGAGAGAGCAAGGAGUGUCCUCCAGUCUUGGACUCAAGCAGGAGUUGGAAGGGAGUGUGCAGAAGUCGUAGAAUCCUGAAGGGGAAGGAACCAGUCAUUAUGGCCCAUCGUCUAGGGAAGGAACCAGUCAUCAUGGCCCAUCAUCCAGGGCUGACCAGUAGGCUGAUUAAAUUCUGCAGCUGUCUUCCCAACUUUGAAUGGCUUUUUGGCAUCAUAAAGAUCUAAAAACAUUAUAAACUAAAUAAUAUCCAGCACUAAGGCACCUAUCCAGCAUCUGUCCUUUGGCAAACUCAUUCCACUCCUACAAGAAAAAACAAGAAGAAAGAAAGAAAGAAGAAAGAAAGAA
rnacentral:lncRNA from 1 species